GAACGGCAUUAAGGUGAGCCGUCCCCAUCGCCCAGCCCUACCUCGUCGCUGGCUGGAGUAACAAGAUAGGAAACAAACUGAGCGUGGAUCUGCCAGUUGCGCUGAGCAUCGGGAGCUCUGACCAGAGGUGCAAAUGUUUUUGCUGUUUCAGUCUACCCUUGUAAUGCUGGUACAACAUUGAGAAAUGACUUGCAGACGCUGCAGGUGGGGGGGAUAUGUACUUCCAAGGGCACACAAAGAUGCCACCGCACCAGUGGAACAUCAGCACUGUAACAACAAAUUUACUUUGCUAUUCAACGGUCACUGUGCGAGCAUCCUCACGGAAAACCAAGUUGAUCCCAGGAAAUCCAUGAAGCAUGAGCGCACUUGUCGGAUGGAAGAGGACAUGGCCUGAGGCUAGGCAUCUAUGUAUCUGGGCAGGGUGGUCCACAACCUUGUGCAAGAUUUCUUCCAUGGAGCUGCAUCUCCUGAGAUCUAAAUGAGCAAUCUGGUGCAUCACCGAAAGCCAAAACUUGAGGGAUCGGUACAUAGGUGCUGGCCUGUUGUUAACACUCCUCAGCGCACGUUCCUGUCAGUUUUCGUCCUUGAUGUACUCUAGUCGUUUUCGAUCCUUUGCUGAGCGAGGCUCCCUGUUUCAUGUCUUUGUGCAGUUUUUCGCGAUUGCAUGUGUGGCUGUUGAUCAUGUACAGUUUUCUGUUGUUGAUGUAUGUUGUAAUCAGAUCAUGCUUACUGGUCAGAGACAACAGUUGUUUGUAUUAAGAGGUACGAAAUCAAUGAUGUGCAUUGUUCAACUGUAUGUAUGUACCCGCUGAACAGACGGCACAGCUAAGGCUUGUACUCGAGAACCCUGUUUUUUUCGGGUGCCAUGAGAAGUGAUAUACGCCAUCUUCUUGACGUGAGAACAGUAGAAAGACUUGCUGGUGUGGAUCUUGUACCGAUGUGUAAGAUGAGAAUAAGUUUUUCUUCUUUUGUUGCAAACAGUAUGUAAAUAGCAAAAGAUUCUACACGCAAAAAACAGUGAAGAUCCAGGAUUGGAAAUCUAUGUUUAUGCAAAGCAAGGCAUGGCGCCAAAGUGUCUGAUCUUGAUCUGAUGCCCGGUGCCUGCAGUGACCAAGGACGAGGUGCUAGCGGACAAAGGCUCGGAAAGUUGGUUGUAGGGGACGGACACUUUGACCACGUCCAAAGAAAUUCUUAGUUUGUCCACAUUUUACAGUUCGACGGACGCGAGGAUAUGGUUCCACCCCCAUGUCAACUUACAGCAGUGCAACCUCAUCAAAAGAAAGAAAGAAAGAAAA
rnacentral:lncRNA from 1 species